AACGAACGCUGGCGGCGUGGAUAAGACAUGCAAGUCGAACGAGAGAAUUGCUAGCUUGCUAAUAAUUCUCUAGUGGCGCACGGGUGAGUAACACGUGAGUAACCUGCCCCCCGAGAGCGGGAUAGCCCUGGGAAACUGGGAUUAAUACCGCAUAGUAUCGAAAGAUUAAAGCAGCAAUGCGCUUGGGGAUGGGCUCGCGGCCUAUUAGUUAGUUGGUGAGGUAACGGCUCACCAAGGCGAUGACGGGUAGCCGGUCUGAGAGGAUGUCCGGCCACACUGGAACUGAGACACGGUCCAGACACCUACGGGUGGCAGCAGUCGAGAAUCAUUCACAAUGGGGGAAACCCUGAUGGUGCGACGCCGCGUGGGGGAAUGAAGGUCUUCGGAUUGUAAACCCCUGUCAUGUGGGAGCAAAUUAAAAAGAUAGUACCACAAGAGGAAGAGACGGCUAACUCUGUGCCAGCAGCCGCGGUAAUACAGAGGUCUCAAGCGUUGUUCGGAAUCACUGGGCGUAAAGCGUGCGUAGGCUGUUUCGUAAGUCGUGUGUGAAAGGCGCGGGCUCAACCCGCGGACGGCACAUGAUACUGCGAGACUAGAGUAAUGGAGGGGGAACCGGAAUUCUCGGUGUAGCAGUGAAAUGCGUAGAUAUCGAGAGGAACACUCGUGGCGAAGGCGGGUUCCUGGACAUUAACUGACGCUGUGGCACGAAGGCCAGGGGAGCGAAAGGGAUUAGAUACCCCUGUAGUCCUGGCAGUAAACGGUGCACGCUUGGUGUGCGGGGAAUCGACCCCCUGCGUGCCGGAGCUAACGCGUUAAGCGUGCCGCCUGGGGAGUACGGUCGCAAGAUUAAAACUCAAAGAAAUUGACGGGGACCCGCACAAGCGGUGGAGUAUGUGGCUUAAUUCGAUGCAACGCGAAGAACCUUACCUGGGCUUGACAUGUAAUGAACAACAUGUGAAAGCAUGCGACUCUUCGGAGGCGUUACACAGGUGCUGCAUGGCCGUCGUCAGCUCGUGUCGUGAGAUGUUUGGUUAAGUCCAGCAACGAGCGCAACCCCUGUUGCCAGUUACCAGCACGUGAAGGUGGGGACUCUGGCGAGACUGCCCAGAUCAACUGGGAGGAAGGUGGGGACGACGUCAGGUCAGUAUGGCCCUUAUGCCCAGGGCUGCACACGUACUACAAUGCCCAGUACAGAGGGGGCCGAAGCCGCGAGGCGGAGGAAAUCCUAAAAACUGGGCCCAGUUCGGACUGUAGGCUGCAACCCGCCUACACGAAGCCGGAAUCGCUAGUAAUGGCGCAUCAGCUACGGCGCCGUGAAUACGUUCCCGGGUCGUGCACA
rnacentral:rRNA from 1 species